rnacentral:tRNA from 1 species
GCCGGGGUGGCGGAAUUGGUAGACGCGACGGAUUCAAAAUCCGUUUCCCUCGGGAGUGUCGGUUCGAGUCCGACCCUCGGUACCA